AGAGCAGUAAGAGCAUCUAGCAUUGCUAAAAUAGGCCUUGCUGUUGGCAGAUAUUAAUCCUGGUUGCCUGAGUCAGGUCAGCAUGUAAUCCAUAUAUUCCUCUCAACCAAACAAGGGGACAGAGGACCCAGGCCAGCCUACCAGAGAAUGCCAUCUCUGUGUCCAAGAAGAUGAAUUUAAAGAGGAGACUGUGACUCAAAGCAGACAUUAAGAAACCUCCAAAAGAUGUGUUACAUGGAUGCUGGAGACCAAAGAAUGACUCUUUUUCCAUGACACUGAAAGUUAUAAGAAUGAUAUAAGCAGGAGAUUAUGUUACCAUCGUUUUAUUUUAUGUUUUUUAUUUUAUUAUGCUGGCUGAGCAGGAAAUUGAAAUAGUUACAGUGUGAUUAUGGAGAGACAAGCAUAUUAAAGUAACCAGCUUGGUUUUAAUUCUAGUAUUGAUGUUUUUUAAUAGAGGAGAAAAUGACCAGAUUAGCAUUUGACAUAUGUCAAAAUUUUGUUACAAAAAUAUCUGUAUCAACUGAGUGAUUUUAAUAAUACCACAGAAUAUAAAAGUUCAUAAAAAAUAUAGAGAAAAGAGCAACUUAAGACACAAAAGAGAUUAUUUUUUUUUAAAUAACUACACUUGCUGCACAUGGAAGUUCUUGGGCCAGGGAUUGAACCUGCACAUGUGCAACCACCGGAGCUGCUGCACCCGAUCCUAAACUUCCUGCACCACAGUGCAACUCCCAGAAAUUAUUUUGAUAUAUAUUUUGAAGCAAUAAUAUAUACUUUUAUUAAAAAGUUUAUUCCAGUUCUAUUAAUUAUUAACAAUAUAGUUGUGGUUAUCUAUACUAUAUAUCAAAUAUUCUCAAUGUUGGCAAUAUUGACAUUUCUUAAGACAGUUUUUUAAGAGUAUGAGCAUCUUUUCAAGUAUGAAAUGAUCUCUUCUGUCAGAGAGAAUAACCUGCAAACAGAACCUGGAUUGAGACACUGAUUUACUGGAUCUGCUGUGCUUAAAUUUAAUAUACACUUGAAUUUUUAGUUUGUUAGCAGAAGAAACUCCAAUUUUCGGUUUGUUAGCAAAAUAAAUUCCUAUUUAUGUGAAAACACAAUUUGAAAUGUCUCGUAUUUUUAGCUAAAAAACUUCUGUUCCCCACCUGUAACAAAAACUACAUUAAAUCAAGUUUGCAGAUUCAUAUUUGUAUAUUGAUUUUACUUACUGGUUAAGCUGUAAUUGGAAAGAUGGGUAUAAACAUGUUUGAUUUAUACACUCAGUUUAAUGCUUUUAGCAUUGGAGAUAUCUAAACUUAAUUGACUCAACCUCUAGGCAAGUCAAGCUAUUGUUUGGAGAUCAAACCAAAUAGAGUUUUGUUUUGUUUUGUUUUGUUGUGUUUUUUAAAUGGUCAGCUGUUUUUUAUUAUUGUGUCUGGGAUAGAGAUGCUAUUAACCUCUGUGGUUUACUACUUACAGGAAGAUACUGUCUUUAAAACUGCAACCCCAAGAUUCUUUGGGCAGUAACACAGCAGAUAGUACCCAGAGCAGCCUAUAUUGGUGUUAAUUGGUAGACCAGCUAAUGGGAAAAGCUUUUGAAAGUAAUGGAAUGAAUAAGAAGAAAAAAGCAGAUUAUUUGAGGAGGUAGGUUUUUAAUUGUUCUACUAAUGGCAUCUGCCAUUUACACUGUGUUAGCCAUCCCAUUUUUUUUUUCAGCUCUAAUCCCUUUCUUUGAGCAGCUCUUAAUAACCACUGUAUACAUUUAUAGGAAAAGUCACUCUAAAGGUUGGUUAACUGGGAUUUCUGUUUUUGUUUUGAGUAUAAUUUUCCCAGGAAGGAAGAAGACCAAAACAUUCAAACCUCACCAAGUAUAAACUAGUGUUUGUCUUUCUUCCCUCUAAAGCAUUGACAGUGCCCACUCCAUUGCUAAUGUGCCAUUGGGGCAGAAUGGGUAAUGACUCACGGCCUGGCAGAGACCCAAGGGACAUGUCAACAGUGUGCCUUGGCCACAGCCAGUUAGCCUGGAGCAGCCGCCAAGGUUUAUUGUCUUUGCAGUUUCCUGGCCUCCACCAGUAAGAGGAGUCAUGGCUCUCACCAGAUUUCUUAGCUAGAUUCUUCAUGAAUUGCAUAUUUAUAGGCAUUUCAUAGCAAGAGGCCUUAUUGUACCUAGGUCUAUGGCCAGAGUAGACUCAUUCAUAAUGCAAUUAGGAGAGAGUCACAUUAUUUUAUGGUUAUGUUAUGCUGCAAAACAGAGUCCAUGUGUCCCUCUGUUUGUCAUUAUAUUCCUACAUAUAAACAGGCAUGGGAACAUGGAAUGGUAUUUAUAAACUUUGCUGUGCAUCCUGAAGUUACCAGAUUAUAAAUGAGAAUGCUGGUUUAGCAGAGGCCUGGUUGUCUGAAGAACAGCCUCAAACUGAAACCUACCUUGGUCAAGUCUCCUCUUUCAGCUUUUGAGAUUCAUAACAAGAAACAUACCUAGUACAGGUGGGAAAACUUCUUGUUCUGACCCAUUUUCAUUUCACUGUUUCUAGUCACCACUGUCAUGAAGUGGACCCUUGCGGUCCAGGUCUGUUCCUGGGCUGGGCAUUGAAGACCAAAGAUGAGAAGCAACUCCUCUGGGGUCAGUUUGGAAGUUCUACCCAUUCCUUCUUACUCUGGUCCUUUAGGAUCCAAGCGUCCCCAUUUCCAUCAGCAGCACAUGUAGGUUUAGACUUUCCCCAAAUUGUCUACGUACAACAGAGAAUGGAGACUAAGUUCAUUCACUUUCAGGGUCCGUGUUUUAAUGCAUAGGAUAUCUUGAAAUAAAAUUUAGAAGUCUAGUAGAGAGUCACUUAGAGUUCUAGUGUUCUUGUUAUUUGUGCCCCAUAAUCAUUUAGGAGUCAUUGUUUAGGUUUUUGAAAGACUUAUUUAUAAAAUGCAUUUCUUUCACCUGAAAUUGGGCUAAAUAAUUCCUACUUGGUUAUAGUGUCAAUAAAACCCAGUAGGUAGAGAGAAGAAACACUGCAUAUUUAUGUUCUGCCAGUGGGAAAUUUUAUACCAGUAAUUGUCCCAAAGGCUCUAGAAUCUUAUCGUAAGCUUCCUCAUCACUACACAUGAAAGCCUGUAAGAUAUGUCCUUACAGUUCGCUUUAAAUCAACAUCUAAAAAGACAUUACCAGAGCAGAGCUAAAAUCCAAAUUCUAUGCUUGCUAUCACAGAGAUUAACCUCUAGUGUUUCUGAGUUGCUGAGGGGGCUGCUUCAUUUACGGCAGCAAUAACAUAGCCCUAGGCUUCUGUUUUUGCUAAAUAAGAAGCUGAUAGAGGUCUGGUUGGUCUACGUGUUGAUUAUUCAUCACUGGUCUCUUGUUUUUAUUUUACGCGUGCUUAUCAAUUAAAAUUGUUUUCCUGAGGAUCCCUAAAGAAUUUGCUGACCUUUCAACUAUUACAGAGAUGAGAGGGUAAACCUAGGAGUGCAGCCAGUUGGGGUGUAAAAUCUUAAUAAAGUCCCCAAAUGGAAAUAGAGUGUUUUCUCCCCCACCCUCAGCUAAGGACAAUUCUAACCUAAGUUCUGUCUAUUCAUUUCAUAGAAACCAUUAGGUUCUGUGAUGCUCACAGACUUAAAUUCAUUACUAAUAUGAAAAAUAAUAGACAUUUCUUUGGUUAACUGCUUUACAGAGGUUUUCCAGAGUCACCUUCCCUUAUCCUCAAAACUCGAUGUUAGGCAUAACUGUAUAAGUAGGGGUGAGCAAUAUAAUAUAACCUAUAUAAUAAUAUAUAACAUACACUUAUAUACAAUAUAUAAUAUACACUUCUUCCAGUUAUAAAAUAUGUAAGUCAUGGGGAUGUCAUGUCUGGCAUGUUGAUUGUAGUAAAUAAUCCUUUAGUGGAUAUGUGGAAGUUGCUGAGAGUAUAGCUCUGAAAUGUCCUUACUGUAAGAAAAAAAAAUUUGUAGCUGUGGUGACAAAUGAUGACUAAACUUAUUUUGGUUAUCAUUUUGCAAUAUAUGCAAAUAUCAAAUCAUUAUGUUGUCUACCUGAAACUAACAAAACGUUAUAUGUCAGUUAUACCUUAAUGAAAAAAAUAAGACUUUUCUAAUGUGCAGCCCUUUAAAAUAGAUAAAUUUUAUUUUAAAUAUAGUAAAAUCAGUAAAAUAUAAAGUUUGAAGAGC
ensembl:lncRNA